rnacentral:rRNA from 1 species
CCUACGGGGGGCUGCAGUGGGGAAUAUUGGACAAUGGGGGGAACCCUGAUCCAGCCAUGCCGCGUGUGUGAAGAAGGCCCUCGGGUUGUAAAGCACUUUCUGUGAGGAAGAACGCCUGGUGGUUAAUACCCAUCAGGAAAGACAUCACUCACAGAAGAAGCACCGGCUAACUCCGUGCCAGCAGCCGCGGUAAUACGGAGGGUGCGAGCGUUAAUCGGAAUUACUGGGCGUAAAGCGCGCGUAGGUGGCUUGAUAAGCCGGUUGUGAAAGCCCCGGGCUCAACCUGGGAACGGCAUCCGGAACUGUCAAGCUAGAGUGCAGGAGAGGAAGGUAGAAUUCCCGGUGUAGCGGUGAAAUGCGUAGAGAUCGGGAGGAAUACCAGUGGCGAAGGCGGCCUUCUGGACUGACACUGACACUGAGGUGCGAAAGCGUGGGUAGCAAACAGGAUUAGAUACCCUAGUAGUC